rnacentral:rRNA from 1 species
GUAAACCCAAGGUUUCCAGGGGAAGGUUCGUCCGCCCUGGGUUAGUCGGGACCUAAGCUGAGGCCGAAAGGCGUAGGUGCUGGACAACAGGUUGAUAUUCCUGUACUACCGAUAACCGUUUGAGAGAAGGGAUGACACAGUAGGAUAAGCUAAGCACACUGUUGGUUAUGUGUGCCCAAGCAUUGAGGCAGUCAAAGUAGGCAAAUC